AUCAAUUGUGAGUCAUGUUGACUCAACCCCGAUGAGUCUUAGUACCCAACAAUUAUGAUAAUCCUGUUACCUCUCAUAAAUGCCAUACUAUUGCCUAGUGUGCAACACAAUGGGAGCUACGAGGUCGACUCAAACCAUUCCCAAAAGCAAGUCACAAUCUCCUACUUUCAUUAGUUUAAAUUCAUAUUCAAAUCCUUCACCUUGCAUUUGCCAGCAAACUUUUUUACAGAUGGCCAGUUCGAGUUAGGGGUGGGCAUAUAUCGGGUAAACCGAUAACCCGAACCAUUAAUUACUUAUUGGGUUAUCGGAAUUGGGUUAUUGGGUUAAUGGUUCGGUAAUGAGUAAAAACAAAUAUAUUAUUGGGUUAUCGGUUCGGAAUCUGGUAAGCAUUUCUGUUAUUGGGUAAACCCAAAACCCAAUAAGGAGCUAUAAAUUUACUAGUUUACCCUUAGUGCAUUGUAACAUAGGGUUUCAUACUUUCAUUUUCAGUUUCACUCACGCAGUCACGCUCAGACCAGUACGCCUACGCCCGCCUCCUAACUCAUAUUCAUGCCAGUCCUCACCUUCAGACCACCGACAAUUCGCCACCGCCUCACAACUCACGCGGUCACGCCUGCCCAACUGAGCCCGUCACUCCUUCAUCGUGUAAGUUUUGUGUUUAUAAGUUUUGGCUCAAG
rnacentral:lncRNA from 1 species